UGGGGAAUAUUGGGCAAUGGGCGAAAGCCUGACCCAGCAACGCCGCGUGAAGGAUGAAGUAUUUCGGUAUGUAAACUUCGAAAGAAUAGGAAGAAUAAAUGACGGUACUAUUUAUAAGGUCCGGCUAACUACGUGCCAGCAGCCGCGGUAAUACGUAGGGACCAAGCGUUGUUCGGAUUUACUGGGCGUAAAGGGCGCGUAGGCGGCAAUUCAAGUCAUCUGUGAAAUCUCCGGGCUUAACUCGGAACGGUCAGAUGAUACUGCUUUGCUAGAGUGCAGAAGGGGCAAUCGGAAUUCUUGGUGUAGCGGUGAAAUGCGUAGAUAUCAAGAGGAACACCUGAGGUGAAGGCGGGUUGCUGGGCUGACACUGACGCUGAGGCGCGAAAGCCAGGGGAGCAAACGGGAUUAGAUACCCCCGUAGUCCCUGAGCGGGCUGGCAAGGCGCAU
rnacentral:rRNA from 1 species